GCCCGCUUAGCUCAGUGGCAGAGCGCUCACUAGUAUAUCUUCUGAUACAUCAUCUAAACAUGAUGAGGCCCUCAAUUCGACUCUGGAAGUGGGCU